rnacentral:misc_RNA from 1 species
AGCGUUUCAAGUUUAAUGACACAAUUCUUCAAUUUCUUUUUUAUUUUUUUGUCAAUCAAUUCUUCAAUUCUUAGGUCGUCACUCGCCGCUUCCGCAUAUGAUGAUGAUACAGUAAAUUGUUCUCCAAGUGGUUGAGAAUCCAACUAUCUGAUCAAUUGUCCAAACCCGUAUAGAGGCAGAGCCACCCUUUUUGUUGGUAUUUCGAGCUUUCCAUAACAUGUCAGAGCAGUACAAUAACGUACCAAUUGGUUGGUUUAAAUUAGGAUUGAUCAAUUUGCCAUAUUUCUUCCCUCCCAUUGUGAACCAUACAGUGUAGCUAAGAUUUGGCUGAGCAUAAUGAAAAAUAUAACUAGAAAAGUGAUAG